AGUUGAUAAGCACCGGCGUAAAGAGUGGUUAAGACAGACAUAAAACUAAAGCCGAACACCCUCCUAGCUGUUAUACGUUGACACGAGGACUAGAAGUUCAACUACGAAAGUGGCUUUACAUUAUCUGACCCCACGAAAGCUAUGGUACAAACUGGGAUUAGAUACCCCAUUAUGCCUAGCCCUAAAUAUUGAUAGAAAGCUACACCCACUAUCCGCCCGGGUACUACGAGCAUUAGCUUAAAACCCAAAGGACUUGGCGGUGCUUUAGAUCCACCUAGAGGAGCCUGUUCUAGAACCGAUAACCCCCGUUCAACCUCACCCUUCCUUGUUUUCCCCGCCUAUAUACCACCGUCGUCAGCUUACCCUGUGAAGGCCCCGUAGUAAGCAAAAUUGGCACACCCCAGAACGUCAGGUCGAGGUGUAGCACAUGGAAGGGGAAGAAAUGGGCUACAUUCACUACGCCAGUGAAUACGGAUGGUGCACUGAAAUAAUGCACCUGAAGGAGGAUUUAGCAGUAAAUAGGAAGCAGAGAGUCCUACUGAAAAUGGCCCUGAAGCGCGCACACACCGCCCGUCACUCUCCCCAAGCCCUCUUAACCCUAAGUAACUAAAGCCUGCAUUCGCUAUAGG
rnacentral:rRNA from 1 species